GGCGUCGUGUGCUUGGGGCUCAACGACAUGGCUCGGCGGGCGGGCAGGUUCUUCUUGAUCUCGAAAACCUUCGUAUGUCUUCGCCUUUCGCUGCGCUCUCCUUGUCUACUUUAUUAUCACAGCUCAAAGAAGUUAUUAAGCUUCUGCUGGGAUUCUCCUGAACUACAGUUUGCUUUAGAUCUUUGCUUUGAUUCAAGUUUUUCAUUCCAAUUAUUUUAUCAGUUUGAAUAAAAACUAGUUUGAAAAGUC